CAUUCUUACAGACGGCCAAGUUUGAUGAACCUGUAACGCUCGACUUUUUGGAUGCGGAGCUUGAGAAUGACAUCAAAGUGGAGAUAAGAAGAGAAAUGAUUGAUGGUCAAACAGGGAGUUACAUGAUACCCACACUGGUGAAAUCUCAAGAUGAGCGCUACAUCGACCAAGGUCAGAGGACGUACACCUUUGCACCAGUGAAAGGAACAGACUACAGGUAAAAUUUUGAAUAAAAUAAAAAGCACAGAUCUCAUUUUAUUGUUUAACAAGACAAUUUAUUUAAAAAACUGAAAGGUGCCAAAGUAACUACUAAUGUUAUAAGACAAAGAUAAUUUAAUUAUGAUGUAUGAGAAGAUUAAAGA